AAUAGUUAUCCAUGCGUUUUCCAGAAAUUUCGUUUCUAUAGUUGUAGUUCCGUGAUCAUCCUUUUCACGAGAGCAGCAGAUCACUAUGACGAAUAUGGACAGCGAAACCGUAGCGCAAUCCGAAUUAAACGAAGCUAUUGACAUUACACCUAACAAGGACGGUGGUGUGCUGAAAGAGAUUUUGCGAGCCGGAGAAGGCGACUCGACGCCAAGUCCCGAAAAUAAAGUCACAGUCCAUUAUGUGGGCACGCUUACUGACGGAACCCAGUUCGAUUCUAGCCGAGAAAGAGGGGACAAGUUUGAGUUUGAGCUUGGAACAGGAAAGGUAAUAAAAGCAUGGGACCUGGGAAUUGCUACUAUGAAGUGUGGCGAGCUGGCCAAGUUCACCUGUAAACACGAAUACGCCUAUGGUGAAGGUGGAUCACCUCCAAAAAUACCGCCAAAUGCAACUUUGAUCUUUGAGGUGGAACUCUUUGAUUGGAAAGGAGUCGAUCUUUCUGAGGACAAAGAUGGAGGCAUCAUGAAGUAUUCAAUCAAGGCGGGCACCGGUGGGAAGACUCCAAACGAUGGUGCAGUUGUCAACAUGAAGUACGUGGGUCGUCAUGGUGACCGUGUGUUUGAAGAGCGGACUGUGCAGUUCACAGUGGGAGAGGGGUCUGACAGUGGAAUCAUUGAAGGGCUGGAGAUGGCCGUUAAGAAGCUGAAGGAAGGAGAGCAGACGAAACUCGUCAUCGCAUCUCGGUAUGCUUACGGACAAGACGGAAAUAAAGAUUUCAACAUUCCACCCGGAGCAGAUCUAGAAUACGAGGUUGAACUUCAGAGUUUUGAAAAGGCAAAGGAAUCAUGGGAAAUGGAUUCCAAAGAAAAAAUUGAGCAGUCUGAAAUCCUCAAAGCCAAAGGAACUAAAUUCUUUAAGGCAGAAAACUACAACCUCGCCAUCAAGAACUACAAGAAGAUCGUGUCAUUCCUGGAGUUUGAGACGGGACUGGAAGAAGCCGAGCAGAAACAGCGUGAUUCAUUAAUUCUUGCAGCCCACCUCAAUUUGGCGAUGGCCAACAUAAAGGCGUCAGACUUUCAUAAAGCCAUUGAACAUUGUGAUAAAGCAUUGGAGAUUGAUUCUAACAAUAUAAAGGCUUUCUUUAGACGUGGCCAGGCUAGAAUGCAGCAAAGAGAUUUUGAAGAUGCUAUUAAAGAUUUCCAGUUGGUGUUGGACAAUGAACCGGAGAAUAAAGCUGCAAAGAACCAGAUUGUCAUCUGUCGCCAAAAGAUCAAACAGUUUUACGAGCAGCAGAAAAAGAUUUACUCGGGAAUGUUUUCAAAGUUUGCAGAACAUGAUAUCAAGGUCAAUCCAAAUAAGAGACCUGACUGGUACAAUUCCUCCAGUGAGGAAGUCUCUAACAAUGUCCAGGAAUGGAAUAACGAUAUGGCCCAAGGCAUGAUGCCUCUGGAGCAGGAGUUAGAAGCGUUUGGUGAAACAAUGCCUGAAAUAGCACCCACCAAAAACGACCACCACAAAUGACCUCCCCUCCCCAUGUGGUGAUAGUGAAGCGGACCCUAAAGGCUUCCCACUGGGAAAUUAAAAAUGCAGGGUGAGCAGAACGGUGAAGCCGGCGAUAACAAGGAGAAUGAAAAGAAUUCGGAGGUCAGUUCAGAAGCCAAAGAAUCUGUUGAAACCAUGGAAACAAGCUGAAUGCUAUCUUAAGCCGGUGAUUACAAGAAAAAUGCACAAAGUUUUCCUGUUGAUUGAUAAAAAUAAAUGUCAUUUUUAAUUAAAAAAUUUUGGGGAUCACUUUAUUACUUUUAAUUAAAAUUGAAAAUGAAAUAACACCUACAGUUACAUGGAAAGAUUGAAAUGUUUGUUGAGUGAUUGGUACUUGUGUGCAGAACAUUAAAUCAAUACACAUGUCCCAUAAGUUUCUCCCCUCCCCCACCCCACCUCUUCCCGAUGAUAUAAUUUUUGUUUCGAGAUUGACACCCACUUGCUGUAGAUUAGAUAUAAUGAUACUGGGGUAUUGUUAAGUUUUCAUUCGUAGCUCCUGUGCUUCAUAUUCCAGGGAAGUCUUUAGUAUUUCACAGAGUGAAACACGGGCAAAACAAAACUUCCAUAGUAAAAAUCUUGAGACCUCCCCACUAAAAAACCCCAAACAAAGACCCCACAAAAAACAACCCACUUCUUGAAACACAAAUUGAACAUCACUGAAUCACUGAGCAAGAUAGUAAUAGGGUUUAUUUGAAAUGCUAAAAAAUUUGUUGAAUAAUUAAAAAUGAGCAAUGUGUUGCAAAACUACCAUCAUGUGGAUGUGCUGAGGAUGUUCAUAGUUUUCUUUUGUAUACCGGUUAGAUCUAUUUACACCACAUUGUGUAUGUGCUAUAAAGUUCCAUUUGGUACGAUUAAAAUGUUGACAUUAUAUUUCUAUUUAAUACAUGUAACCUGUUGUAUGUUGAAUUCCGUGUUUCAUUUGAUAAAUACUUUCAUAAGUUCUUAAUCAUUCGGUUGUUUUUUCCCCCCCACAUUAAAUUCAUAAACCACU